rnacentral:tRNA from 1 species
AUCUAAAUAGUUUAAUUAAAAAUAUUGAUUUGUGGUGUCAGAGAUAUAAAAUUUAUUUUAGGUC